rnacentral:lncRNA from 1 species
CGGGAAGGCGGUGUCUAGCCCGCGGCCCCAGAAACGGGUCGCGGAGACCCCUGGGAGAGCCCGACCCCGCCGGGCCGCGCAGGCGAGCGCUGCCAGCCAGCGGUGGAAGAGACGCUGCCUUCUGGAACGUCCACAUACGUUUCCAUUCUCAUGUGUACAGCCCGUUUUGCUGCCGUCUCCUGGUUCUGGACACGCAGGACCACCUGUUUGGGUGCCCUUCCUUACCCCAUAAGUCGUCUUGGACAGGAUCUGACCUAACCCAAGCAGCCACCACCCUUGGGGUCUUCAUCCAGUGUUGAGGUGAGAAUUACUUUGCUCUGGUCAAGUACAUUUUUGUCAAGAAUUCUCUGGUUUCAUUUCCUAGUGGCACCAAGGUACAAAAAGCCAUAUUUCUUAUGAGAAAGAAAUAUCCAUCCCUCCUCCCUGGGAGAUCAUGUUCUAAACACAGUUUACCCACGUAAAGACAGAUUCUCAGUCAGGUGCAGUGGGGCACACCUGUGUUCCCAGCACUUAAGCAGAGGGAGGGGGAUCUCUGCCAACCUGGUCUGCAAGUUCCAGGACAGCCAAGGCUACACCGAGAAACAUUGUCUCAAAAAACCGGAAAACAAACAAAUGAAAUUUAUUCUCAGCUUUCCAGCCUAUUGAGAUAUGAAGUAAUAAUGGACACAAAACUUUACAGAAGGAAAAACAGGAUUUCGGGUCAGAGUCAAGGACUUUGACAUGCCUUAGGGACUUCUUUGUAAGUAAAUCAGAAGUUACCACCUUGUUAGAAAGCAGUCGGCACCAAGAGGCCCGGGUUCUGUUCCCAGCAGCCACGCGGCAGGUCACAACUGUCUUUCAUCUUCCGUCCUCCGAGGGUACAGUCUCAAAAGGGCCCUGUACACACUCACACGCAUAAAAGACAUUUCAAAAGGAGGCAGUUGGAUCAGAAUUCCAGGUCAAGUCUGAGACUAUCUCAGGCUGCAGAACAAUGUCUCAAAGAGCUAAUGCUAAUCUGGAACAUAAAAAUAUCUCAAUAGCAGAGUGUAAUGAACUGUGAGAGCUCAUUCAGCCUGCCCUAGAGCCAUGGUGUUCCAAAAGCCGGUAUCAUGGAGGUAAGAAUGAAAUAGUUCACUAGCACCC